rnacentral:rRNA from 1 species
UACGUAGGGGGCAAGCGUUGUCCGGAAUCAUUGGGCGUAAAGCGCGUGUAGGCGGCUCGGUAAGUCUGCUGUGAAAGUCCAGGGCUCAACCCUGGAAUGCCGGUGGAAACUGUCGGGCUAGAGUCCGGAAGAGGCGAGUGGAAUUCCUGGUGUAGCGGUGAAAUGCGCAGAUAUCAGGAGGAACACCGAUGGCGAAGGCAGGUCUCUGGGCUGUAACUGACGCUGAGGAGCGAAAGCAUGGGGAGCGAACAGG